rnacentral:rRNA from 1 species
UACGGAGGGGGCUAGCGUUGUUCGGAAUUACUGGGCGUAAAGCGCACGUAGGCGGCUUGGUAAGUUAGAGGUGAAAGCCUGGAGCUCAACUCCAGAAUUGCCUUUAAGACUGCCGAGCUAGCAGGUGAGAGAGGUGAGUGGAAUUCCGAGUGUAGAGGUGAAAUUCGUAGAUAUUCGGAAGAACACCAGUGGCGAAGGCGGCUCACUGGCUCAUACUGGACGCUGAGGAGCGAAAGCGUGGGGAGCGAACAGG